AUUGAACGCUGGCGGCAGGCCUAACACAUGCAAGUCGAGCGGAUGAAGGGAGCUUGCUCCUGGAUUCAGCGGCGGACGGGUGAGUAAUGCCUAGGAAUCUGCCUGGUAGUGGGGGAUAACGUCCGGAAACGGGCGCUAAUACCGCAUACGUCCUGAGGGAGAAAGUGGGGGAUCUUCGGACCUCACGCUAUCAGAUGAGCCUAGGUCGGAUUAGCUAGUUGGUGGGGUAAAGGCCUACCAGGGCGACGAUCCGUAACUGGUCUGAGAGGAUGAUCAGUCACACUGGAACUGAGACACGGUCCAGACUCCUACGGGAGGCAGCAGUGGGGAAUAUUGGACAAUGGGCGAAAGCCUGAUCCAGCCAUGCCGCGUGUGUGAAGAAGGUCUUCGGAUUGUAAAGCACUUUAAGUUGGGAGGAAGGGCAGUAAGUUAAUACCUUGCUGUUUUGACGUUACCAACAGAAUAAGCACCGGCUAACCUCGUG
rnacentral:rRNA from 1 species